rnacentral:rRNA from 1 species
UUUAGAUGGCGACCGGCGCACGGGUGAGUAACACGUAUCCAACCUGCCGAUGACUCGGGGAUAGCCUUUCGAAAGAAAGAUUAAUACCCGAUGGCAUAGUUCUUCCGCAUGGUAGAACUAUUAAAGAAUUUCGGUCAUCGAUGGGGAUGCGUUCCAUUAGGUUGCUGGCGGGGUAAUGGCCCACCAAGCCUUCGAUGGAUAGGGGUUCUGAGAGGAAGGUCCCCCACAUUGGAACUGAGACACGGUCCAAACUCCUACGGGAGGCAGCAUG